UACGGGAGGCAGCAGUGGGGAAUAUUGCACAAUGGGGGAAACCCUGAUGCAGCCAUGCCGCGUGUGUGAAGAAGGCCUUCGGGUUGUAAAGUACUUUCAGCAGUGAGGAAGGUGGUGUCGUUAAUAGCGGUAUCAUUUGACGUUAGCUGCAGAAGAAGCACCGGCUAACUCCGUGCCAGCAGCCGCGGUAAUACGGAGGGUGCGAGCGUUAAUCGGAAUUACUGGGCGUAAAGCGCAUGCAGGUGGUUUGUUAAGUCAGAUGUGAAAGCCCGGGGCUCAACCUCGGAAUUGCAUUUGAAACUGGCAGACUAGAGUACUGUAGAGGGGGUAGAAUUUCAGGUGUAGCGGUGAAAUGCGUAGAGAUCUGAAGGAAUACCGGUGGCGAAGGCGGCCCCCUGGACAGAUACUGACACUCAGAUGCGAAAGCGUGGGGAGCAAACAGGAUUAAAUACCCUGGUAG
rnacentral:rRNA from 1 species